GGGCCCAUGGUCUAGCGGUUAUGACAUCACCCUUACAAGGUGAGGAUCCCCGGUUCGAACAGCCUUUUUGCUUCGCAAAAACCCUGGGGAAAGCUUCGCAAAGCAAUCUCCCUUCGGUCGAUUGAGAAAAAGCAAAGGUUAUGAAAGUCCGGGUGGGCCCA
rnacentral:tRNA from 1 species